rnacentral:lncRNA from 1 species
AUUUUUAACAAGAUUUGUCAAUUGAAAAGUAUUCAGUUCUAAUGGGACAUGAGGUACUACUACUGCACUUGACUCUGCUACUUUAAGGUAAUAAUAUCUUAUCAUUCUAUGAAUUUUUAAAUUUAAUAUUUGAUAUAACUGAAAACAUAGAGAAAAAGAAGGGUGGCUGGCUGUAAAAGAGUAUUGGAAUUUGAAUUCGGAGGUUGGAGAUUUGGAGAGAGAGAGAAGGGAGAGAGUAGGUCUAGGUGUCUAGGUAGUAGAUUAUUUAUUUUUAUAGGUUCUAAAUAUAUAUUUAUAUAUUUAUAUUUAUUAUAAAUAUCUACAUAUUUAUUUAUAUACAAUAAGAGUAGUGUAAUUAAGAGUAACAUAAAUUAUAAACAAUUGAAAUCAAAUUAGUACAACAAAAAAGUUCAUCAGUGCACAGUAGUUGCUGAUCCAAAAAUCAACAACAUAAAAUAACAUGUUGUUUCAAGAAUUCCAAAAAGCACCACAAAGUAACAUGUUUCAAGCAUUCCAAAAAGUAACAACAAAGUAUUAUAGGUCUAAAUAUAUAUUUAUAAGGAGCAAGGAUCAAGAGCAUUCCCCUUAAAUAGCAUUCCUCCUUAAAUAGCACUCCUUUAUUAAAACUACGUCGUUUUGGAGUCUUUUAAAAGAGAGUGGUCUCACUUGCUUUUCUUUUAUUUACACAAAUGUCACCCACGACCCCCACUUUUUUCUUUUAAAAGACUCUAAAAUGACGUAGUUUUAAUAAAGGAGUGCUAUUUAAGGAGAAAUGCUAUUUAAGGGGAAUACUCUUGAUCCUUGCUCUAUUUAUAUGUAUUAUAUAUAUUAUAUUUAUAUACAAUAAUAUGUAUUUAUAUAUAUACAAUAAUAGAGUACUCUGACUACUAAUUAAGAGUAACAUAAAUUAUAAACAAUAAAAAUUAAAUUAAUAGUAUAAAAAAGUCCAUCAGUGCACAGUAGUUGUUGAUCCAAAAAGCAACUGCAUAAAAUAACAGUUUUUUUAAGUAUUCAAAAAAGCAACAACAUAAACCAAAAAGUUGUUUCAAGCAUUCCAAAAAAGUAACAGUAUAAAGUAACAGGUAUUCAAAAUGCAACAACAUAAAGUAACAUGUGAUUGCAAAUAAAUGUUGUUAUUUCUAUUAUGGAUUCGUUUAUGGUUGUGUAUGGAUUGUUUAACAUAUGAGCAAAAUGUGGUUAGACAUUGCUUUGAAAUACAAUAAUUAUUUUUGUUGGUUCAACAUGAAUGUAUUUUGUUGAUUGUAGUUAUUGAUUAAAACUACCUAUAAUAAUCAUUCCUUAGUAAGAAUUGUGGAUGAGGUUUUAUGUAUUUAUUUUGUUUGUCUCAAUAUGGUUGUGUUGAAUGAAAAUUUUGUAAUGUAAAAUUCACUUUUAAUGCAAGGAGCACAUUGUUCCUGGAAUGUUAAGUGAAAAUUUUGAAAUGUAUUCAUUUGAUUGGAAGUAUAUAGAGAUUUGAUUGGACGGAAUUGGUUCAUUGUUGAUAUUUGUAAAUAUUGUUCAAUUUAAAAAGUAUUUAGUUCCAAUGGGACAUGAGGUACUACUUAUCUUAUUAGUUUUUUUUACACUUAUUUGUUUAAACUGAGUAAACAGGUUUGGAAAGAACAACACCAGCUUGUACCAUAACAUGGAAGCACCGCUCCACUUGACUAUCCUACUUUAAGGUAAAAAUAUCUUAUCAUUCUAUAAAUUUUUAAAUUUAAUAUUUGAUAUUACUGCAAAAAUAGAGAAAAGAAGGGUGGAUGUAAGAGUGUUAUUGGAAGGUUGGAGAUUUGGAGAGAGAGGGAAGGUACGGUAGGUCUAAGACUAGGUUUAGGUCAUAGAUUAUUAUUUUUAUAGGUUCUAAAUAUAUAUAUAUAUUUAUAUUUAUUAUAAAUUUUUAUAUAUAUGUGUUUAUAUACAAUAAUAGAGUACUCUGACUACUAAUUAAGAGUAGCAUAAAGUAUAAACAAUAAAAAUCAAAUUAAUAAUACAAAAAAGUCCAUCAGUGCGCAGUAGCUGUUGAUCCAAAAAGAAACAACAUAAAAUAACAAUUUUUUCAAGUAUUCAAAAAAGCAACAGCAUAAAGCAGCAAGUUGUUUCAAGCAUUCUAAAAAGCAACAACAUAAAGUAACAGAUAUUUUCAAAUAUUUUAAAAAGCAACAACAUAAAGUAACAGGUAUUUUUAAGCAUUCCAAAAAUUAACUACAUAAAGUAAAAGGUGAUUGCAAACUAAUGUUGCUAUUUCUAUUAUAGAUUCGUUUAUGGGUGUAUGUAUUGUUUAACAUAUGAGCAAAGUGUGGUUGGACAUUGGUUUGGAAUACAAUAAUAAUUUUUGUCGGUUCAACAUGAUUGUGUUUUGUUGAUUGUGGUUACUGAUUAAAAAUACCUAUAAUAAUCAUUACUUGGUAAGAAUUGUGGAUGAGGUUUUAUGUUGUGUUGAAUGAAGAUUUUUGUAAUGUAAAAUUCACUUUUAAUGUAAGGAGCACGUUGUUUUUGGGAUGGUUAAGUGAAAUUUUUGAAAUGUAGAAUUCACUGUUAAUAUAAGCUGGAAGAUUGGAAGUAUAUAAAGAUUCGAUUGGACGGAAUCGGUUCACUGUUGAUAAAAGCUUUUUGCACCAAAGGUAUUAUUACUAAAAGUAGAAUUUGUCUUUUUGUGCUUUUGACUGAAUGAUGAUAUAUAGUAUUGAAUGUAUUAACUUUUUGGGAAUUUUUUUUGUAGGUUAUUAUACUGAUUUUUGCAAGAUUGCUCAAUUUAAAAAGUAUUCAGUUCCAAUGGGACAUGAGGUACUACUUAUCUUAUUAGUUUUUUUUAUAUACUUAUGUGUUCAAACUGAGUAAACAGGUUUGGAAAAAACAACACCAACUUGUACCGGAACAUGAAAGCACUGCUCCACUUGACUCUCCUACUUUAAGGUAAAAAUAUCUUAUCAUUCUAUGAAUUUUUAAAUUUAAUAUUUGAUAUAAUUGCAAAAAUAAAAAGAGAAGGGUGGAUGUAAGAGAGUUAUUGGAUUUUGAAUUUGGAGGUUGGAGAUUUAGAGGGAGAUGGAAGGGAUGGUAGGUCUCUAGGUCUAGGUCAUAGAUUAUUAUUUUUAUAGGUUAUAAAUAUAAAUUUGUAAGUAUUAUAUAAAUUUAUAUUUAUUAUAGAUAUCUCUCUCUCUCUCUCUCUAUAUAUAUAUAUAUAUAUAUUUAUAUACAAUAAUAGAGUACUCUCACUACUAAUUAAGAGUAGCGUAAAUUAUAAAAAAUAAAAAUCAAAUUAAUACUACAAAAAAGUCCAUCAGGGCACAAUAGUUGUUAAUCCAAAAAGCAACAACAUAAAAUAACAGUUUUUUCAAGUAUUCAAAAAAGCAACAGCAUAAUAAAGCAACAAGUUGUUUCAAGCAUUUCAAAAAGCAACAGCAUAAAGUAACAUGUAUUCAAAAUGCAACAUCAUAAAGUAACAAGUAUUUUCAAGCAUUCUAAAAAUCAACUAUAUAAAGUAACAUGUGAUUGCAAACAAAUGUUGCUAUUUUUAUUAUGGAUUCGUUUAUGUUUAUGGUUGUGUAUGGGUUGUUUAACAUAUGUGCAAAGUGUGGUUAGGCAUUGGUUUGAAAUACAAUAAUUAUUUGUUGGUUCAGCAUGAUUGUGUUGUGUUGAUUAUGGUUACUGAUUAAAAUUACCUAUAAUAAUCAUUGCUUAGUAAGAAUUGUGGAUGAGGUUUUAUGUAUUUAUUUUGUUUGUCUCAAUAUGGUUGUGUUGAAUGAAGAUUUUGUAAUGUAAAAUUCACUUUUAAUGUAAGGAGUACAUUGUUCCUGGGAUGGUUAAGUAAAAUUUUUGAAAUGUAGAAUUCACUUUUAAUGUAAGCUGAAGAUUGGAUGGAAGUAUAUAGAGAUUCGAUUGGACGGAAUCGGUUCAUUGUUGAUAUUUGCAAGCAUGAAAAGCUUUUUGUACCAAAGGUAUUAUUACUAAAUGUAGAAUUUGUCCUUUUGAUUGAAUGAUAUAUAGUAUUGAUGCAAAUAUAUUUACUUUUUUUGGGAAUUUUUUGUAGGUUAGUAUACUGAUUUUUGCAAGAUUGCUCAAUUUAAAAAGUAUUUAGUUCUAAUGGGAUAUGAGGUCGUUAUUACUUAUCUUAUUAGUUUUUUUACACUUAUGUGUUUAAACUGAAUAAACAGGUUUGGAAAGAACAACAGCAGCUUGUACUGCUACAUGGAAGUAGCGCUCCGCUUGACUUUCUUACUUUAAGGUAAAAAUAUCUCAUCAUUCUAUAAAUUUUUAAAUUUAAUAUUUGUUAUAGCUGCAAAAAUAGAGAAAAAAAAGGGUGGAUGUAAGAGAGAGAUUGGAUUUUGAAUUUGAAGGUUGAAGAUUUGGAGAGAGAGGGAAGGGAGGGUAGGUCUCUAGGUCUAGGUCAUAUAGAUUAUUAUUUUUAUAGGUUCUAAAUAUAUAUUUAACAAGUAUUAUAUAUAUUUAUAUUUAUUAUAAAUAUCUAUAUAUAUGUGUGUGUGUGUGUGUGUGUGUGUGUGUAUUUAUAUGCAAUAAUAGAGCACUCUGACUACUAAUUAAGAGCAACAUAAAUUAUAAACAAUAAAAAUCAAAUUAAUAGUACAAAAAGGUCCAUUAGUGCACAAUAGCUGUUGAUCCAAAAAGCAACAACAUAAAAUAACAGUUUUUUCAAGUAUUCAAAAAAGCAACAACAUAUAGUAGCAAGUUGUUUCAAGCAUUUCAAAAAGUAACGGCAUAAAAUAACAUGUAUUUUCAAAUAUUUCAUAAAGCAAUAGCAUAAAGUAACAGGUAUUUUCAAGCAUUCCAAAAAUUAAUCAACUACAUAAAGUAACAGGUGAUUACAAACAAAUGUUGCUAUUUCUAUUAUAGAUUCGUUUAUGGUUGUGUAUGGGUUGUUUAACAUAUGUGCAAAGUGUGGUUAGACAUUGGUUUGAAAUCAAAUAAUUAGUUUUGUUGGUUCAGCAUGAUUGUGUUUUGUUGAUUGUGGUUAUUGAUUAAAACUACCUAUAAUAAUCAUUACAUAAUAAGAAUUGUGGAUGAGGUUUUAUGUAUUUAAUUUGUUUGUCUCAAUAUGUUUGUGUUGAAUGAAAAUUUUGUAAUGUAAAAUUCACUUUUAAUGUGAGGAGCACAUUGUUCCUGGGAUGGUUAAGUGAAAAUUUAGAAAUGUAGAAUUCACUGUUAAUGUAAGAUGAAUAUUAGAAGUAUAUCGAUUCAAUUGGACGGAAUCGGUUCAUUGUUGAUAAUGCAAACAUGAAAAGCUUUUUCCACUAAAGGUAUUAUUACUAAAUGUAGAAUUUUUCCUUUUGUGCUUUUGACUGAAUGAUAUAUAGUAUUGAUGCAAAUGUAUUAACUUUUUGGGAAUUUUUUUUGUAGGUUAUUUUAAACUGAGUAAACAGGGUUGGAAAGAAAAUCACUAGUGGAACAUGGAAGCAAUGCUCUACUUGACUCACCUACUUUAAGGUAAAAAAUAUCUUAUCAUUCUAUGAAUUUUUAAAUUUAAUAUUUUAUAUAACUGCAGAGAAAAAGAAGGGUGGAUAUUGGUUUUUGAAUUGAAUUUUGAAUUUGGAGGUUGGAGAUUUAUAGAGAGAGGGAAGUGAGGGUAGGUCUAGAACUAGGUCUAGGUCACAGAUUAUAUUUUUUAUAGGUUCUAAAUAUAUAUAUUAUAUAUAUUUAUAUUUAUUAUAAAUAUUUAUAUAUAUGUAUUUAUCUACAAUAAUAGAGUACUAUGACUAUUAAUUAAGAGUAGCAUAAAGUAUAAACAAUAAAAAUCAAAAUAAUAGUACAAAGAAGUCUAUCAUUGCGUAAUAGUUUUUGAUCCAAAAGGCAACAGCAUAAAAUAACAGUUUUUUCAAGUAUUCAAAAAAUUAGCAACAACGUUAACAUAAAGCAGCAAGUUGUUUCAAGCAUUCUAAAAAGCAACAACAUAAACUAACAGGUAUUUUCAAAUAUUUCAAAAAGCAACAGCAUAAAGUAACAGGUAUUUUCAAGCAUUCCAAAAAUUAAUCAACUACAUAAAGUAACAGGUGAUUACAAACAAAUGUUGCUAUUUCUAUUAUAGAUUCGUUUAUGGUUGUGUAUGGGUUGUUUAACAUAUGUGCAAAGUGUGGUUAGACAUUGGUUUGAAAUCAAAUAAUUAGUUUUGUUGGUUCAGCAUGAUUGUGUUUUGUUGAUUGUGGUUAUUGAUUAAAACUACCUAUAAUAAUCAUUACAUAAUAAGAAUUGUGGAUGAGGUUUUAUGUAUUUAAUUUGUUUGUCUCAAUAUGUUUGUGUUGAAUGAAAAUUUUGUAAUGUAAAAUUCACUUUUAGUGUGAGGAGCACAUUGUUCCUAAGAUGGUUAAGUGAAAAUUUAGAAAUGUAGAAUUCACUGUUAAUGUAAGAUGAAGAUUAGAAGUAUACAGAUUCAAUUGGACGGAAUCGGUUCAUUGUUGGCAAACAUGAAAAGCUAUUUCAACCAAAGGUAUUAUUACUAAAUGUAGAAUUUUUCCUUUUGUGCUUUUUGACUGAAUGAUAUAUAGUAUUGAUUGGUAUUAUAACUUUUUGGGAAUUUUUUUUGUAGGUUAUUUAAACUGAGUAAACAGUUUUGGAAAGAAAACCACUAGUUUGUACUGGAACAUGGAAGCAAUGCUCCACUUGAUUCUCCUUACUUUAAGGUAAAAAUAUCUUAUCAUUCUAUGAAUUUUUAAAUUUAUUUAAUAUUUUAUUUAUAUAACUGCAAAGAAAAAGAAGAGUGAAUAUAAGAGAGUUAUUGGAUUUUGAAUUUAGAGGUUAGAGAUUUAUAUAGGGAAGGGAGGGUAUCUCUAAGUCUAGGUUAUAUAGAUUAUUAUAUUUAUAGGUUCUAAAUAUAUAUUUAUAUUUAUUAUAAAUAUAUAUAUAUAUAUAUAUGUAUUUAUUUAUAUAUAAUAAUAGAGUACUCUGACUACUAAUUAAGAGUAACGUAAAUUAUAAAUAAUAAAAAUCAAAUUAAUACUACAAAAAGGUCUAUCAGUGCACAAUAGUUGUUAAUCCAAAAAGCCAGCACAAAAUAACAAUUUUUUCAAGUAUUCAAAAAAGCAACAACAUAAAGCAAUAAGUUAUUUCAAGUAUUCCAAAAAGAAACAGUAUAAAGUAACAAGUAUUCAAAAUACAACAACAUAAAGUAACAGGUAUUUUCAAGCAUUCUAAAAAUCAAUUACAUAACGUAACAUGUGAUUGCAAACAAGUGUUGCUAUUUCUAUUUGUGUAUGGGUUGUUUAACAUAUAUGCAAAGUGUGGUUAGGCAUUGAUUGUGCUGUGUUGAUUGUGGUUACUGAUUAAAACUACAUUUAAUAAUCAUUACUUGGUAAGAAUUGUGGAUGAAGUUUAAUGUAUUUAUUUUGUUUCUCUCAAUAUGGUUGUGUUGAAUGAAGAUUUUGUAAUGUAAAAUUCACUUUUAAUAUAAGGAGCACAUUUGUUCCUCAGAUGGUUAAGUGAAAUUUUUGAAAUGUAGAAUUCAUUGUUAAUGUAAGUUGAAGAUUUGACGUAUAUAGAGAUUCGAUUGGACGUAAUCGGUUCAUUGUUGAUAUUUGCAAGCAUGAAAAGCUAAAUUGCACCAAAGGUAUUAUUAUUAAAAGUAGAAUUUGUCCUUUUGUGCUCUUGACUGAAUGAUAUAUAGUAUUGAUGCAAAUGUAUUAACUUUUUGGGAAAAAAAUUUAGGUUAUUAUACAGAUUUUUGCAAAAUUGCUCAAUUUAAAAAGUAUUCAGCUCUAAUGGGACAUGAGGUACUAUUUCUCUUUCUUUUUUUUACACUGAGAAGUUUAAAGGUUUGGAAAGAACAACACCAGCUUGUACCGGAACAUGGAACCACCGUUCCACUUGACUCUUCUACUUUAAGGUAAAAAUAUCUUAUCAUUCUAUAAAUUUUUAAAUUUAAUAUUUGAUAUAAAUGCAAAAAUAGAGAAAAAGAAGGGUAGAUGUAAGAGAGUUAUUGGAUUUUAAAUUUGGAGGUUGGAGAUUUGGAGAGAGAUGGAAGGGAGGGUAGGUCUAGGACUAGGUCUAGCUCAUAGAUUAUUAUUUUUAUAGGUUCUAAAUAUAUAUUUAUAUUUAUAUUUAUUAUAAAUAUCUAUAUUUAUGUAUUUAUAUAUAAUAAUAGAGUACUCUGACUAUUAAUUAAGUGUAGCAUAAAUAUAAACAAUUAAAAUCAAAUUAAUAGUAUAAAAAAAUCCAUUAGUGCGCAGAAGUUGUUGAUCCAAAAAGCAAUAGCAUAAAAUAACAGUUUUUUCAAGUAUUCAAAAAUGGAACAUCAUAAAACAACAAGUUGUUUCAAGCAUUCUAAAAAGCAACAGCAUAAAAUAACAUGUAUUUUUCAUUAUUUCAAAAAACAACAUAAUAAAGUAACAGGUAUUGUCAAGCAUUCCAAAAAUCAACUAUAUAAAGUAACAUAUGAUUGCAAACAAAUGUUGCUAUUUCUAUUAUGGAUUCAUUUAUGGUUGUGUAUGGGUUGUUUAACAUAUGAGCAAAGUAUGGUUAGACAUUGGUUUGAAAUACAAUAAUUAUUUUUGUUGGUUCAGCAUGAUUGUGUUGUAUUAUUACUAAAAGUAGAAUUUGUCCUUUUAUGCUUUUGACCGAAUGAUAUAUAGUAUUGGUGCAAAUGUAUUAACUUUUUGGGAAUUUUUUUUGUAGGUUAUUUUACUGAUUUUUGCAAGAUUGCUUAAUUUAAAAAGUAUUCAGUUCAAAUGGGACAUGAGGUACUUCUUAUCUUUUUAGUUUUUUUAUACUUGUGUGUUUAAACUAAGUAAACAGGUUUGGAAAGAACAACACCAACUUGUACCGGAACAAGGAAACACUGCUCCACUUGACUCUACUACUUUAAGGUAAAAAUAUCUUAUCAUUCUAUGAAUUUCUAAAUUUAAUAUUUGAUAUAACUGCAAAAAUAGAGAAAAAGAAGGAUGGAUGUAAGAGAGUUAUUGGAUUUUGAAUGCACAGUAGUUGUUAAUCCAAAAAGCAACAGCAUAAAAUAACAAUUUUUUCAAGUAUUCAAAAAAGCAACAACAUAAAGUAACAAGUUGUUUCAAGCAUUUCCAAAAAGCAACAGUAUAAACUAACAGGUAUUCAAAAUGCAACAACAUAAAGUAAUAGAUAUUUUCAAGUAUUCCAAAAAUCAACUACAUAAAGUAAUAUGUGAUUGCAAACAAAUGUUGCUAUUUCUAUUAUGGAUUCGUUUAUGGUUAUGUAAUAUGUGCAAAGUGUGGUUAAGCACUGGUUUGAAACGCAAUAAUUAUUUGUUGGUUCAGAAUGAUUGUGUUGUGUUGAUUGUGGUUACUGAUUAAAACUACAUUUAAUAAUCAUUACUUGGUAAGAAUUGUGGAUGAGGUUUUAUGUAUUUAUUUUGUUUGUCUCAAUAUGGUUGUGUUGAAUGAAGAUUUUGUAAUGUAAAAUUCACUUUUAAUGUAAGGAGCACAUUAUUCCUGGGAUGGUUAAGUGAAAAUUUUAAAAUGUAGAAUCCAUUGUUAAUGUAAGCUGAAGAUUGGAAGUAUAUAGAUAUUUGAUUGGACAGAAUUGGUUCAUUGUUGAUAUUUGUAAGUAUGAAAAGCUUUUUGCACCGAAGGUAUUAUUACUAAAAGUAGAAUUUGUCCUUUUGUACUUUUGACUAAAUGAUAUAUAGAAUUGAUGAAAAUGUCUUAAUUUUUUGGAAAUUAUUUUGUAGGUUAUUAGUAGAUUUUUGUAAGAUUGCUCAUUUUAAAAAAUAUUCAGUUCCAAUGGGACAUGAGGU